rnacentral:rRNA from 1 species
ACGCACGUGUGAAACUUGAAGGAAUUGACGGAAGGGCACCACAAGAACGCGUGGAGCAUGUGGCUUAAUUUGACCCAACGCGGGAAAUCUUACCGGGUCCGGACACACUGAGGAUUGACAGGUGAAUAUAUAGUUAAUUUCGAUUAGCUCUUCAAAUAUGCUAGUCCUUUCAUGAUUGUGUGAUAGGUGGUGCAUGGCCGUUCUUAGUUCGUGGAGUAAUCUGUCUGCUUAAUUGCGCUAAUAAUGGGGCAAGCCAAAACGUAGUUCAUUGAUUCUUUUUUAUAAAGAUCUUUGUCUGCAAUGGUAUUACGCCCCGAAGGCAACGAACGUGACC